AUUGAACGCUGGCGGCAUGCUUUACACAUGCAAGUCGAACGGCAGCGCGGGCUUCGGCCUGGCGGCGAGUGGCGAACGGGUGAGUAAUGCAUCGGAACGUGCCCAGUAGUGGGGGAUAGCCCGGCGAAAGCCGGAUUAAUACCGCAUACGACCUGAGGGUGAAAGCGGGGGACCGAAAGGCCUCGCGCUAUUGGAGCGGCCGAUGUCGGAUUAGCUAGUUGGUGGGGUAAAGGCUUACCAAGGCGACGAUCCGUAGGUGGUCUGAGAGGACGACCAGCCACACGGGGACUGAGACACGGCCCAGACUCCUACGGGAGGCAGCAGUGGGGAAUUUUGGACAAUGGGGGCAACCCUGAUCCAGCCAUGCCGCGUGCGGGAAGAAGGCCUUCGGGUUGUAAACCGCUUUUGUUCGGGAAGAAAUCCUCUGGGCUAAUACCCCGGGGGGAUGACGGUACCGGAAGAAUAAGCACCGGCUAACUACGUG
rnacentral:rRNA from 1 species